ensembl:snRNA U6 U6 spliceosomal RNA
GUGCUCGCUUAGGCAGCACAUAUACUAACAUGGGAAUGACACAGAGGAGAUUAGCAUGGCCCCUGCGCAAGGAUAACAUGCAAAUUCAUGAAGGGUUCUGUAUUUUU